UGAGGUUUCGGCCAAAGGAAGGGAAUGCUUAGUGGCGGACUGGUGAGUAACGCGUGAGGAACCUGCCUUUCAGAGGGGGACAACAGUUGGAAACGACUGCUAAUACCGCAUGACACAUGAAUGGGGCAUCCCAUUGAUGUCAAAGAUUUAUCGCUGAAAGAUGGCCUCGCGUCCCAUUAGCUAGUAGGCGGGGUAACGGCCCACCUAGGCGACGAUGGGUAGCCGGACUGAGAGGUUGACCGGCCACAUUGGGACUGAGAUACGGCCCAGACUCC
rnacentral:rRNA from 1 species